ensembl:snRNA Gm23206 U2 spliceosomal RNA
ACAGCUUCUCAUCUUUUGGCUAAAAUCAAGUGUAGCAUGUGUUCUUACCAGUUUAAUAUCUGGUGUGUCCUUUAUCUGACAAUAAUAUAUUCAAUGGAUUUUUUUUUAAAACAGACAGACUCUUCUCUGUCCAUUCCAUGCAUCCACCUGGUACUACAAUGCCUCUGAGAAUGAUGCACUUCAU